CGCUUUGGGAGGAGCUCGCUUACUAUCAGCUUGUUGGUAGGGUAACGGCCUACCAAGGCUAUGACGGUUAGGGGGUGUGAGAGCAUGACCCCCAGCAUUGGCACUGAAACACUGGCCAAACACCUACGGGUGGCUGCAGUCGAGAAUCUUCCACAAUGGGGGAAACCCUGAUGGAGCGAUGCUGCGUGCGGGAUGAAGGCCUUCGGGUUGUAAACCGCUUUUGUAGGGGACGAAAUUUUUGACGGUACCCUUUCGAAUAAGAGGUUGCUAACUCUGUGCCAGCAGCAGCGGUAAUACAGAGACCUCAAGCGUUAUCCGGAUUUACUGGGCGUAAAGCGUCUGUAGGGGGUUUAUUAAGUUCCAAGUAAAAUUUCAAGGCUCAACUUUGAAUUCGCUUGGAAAACUAAUAAACUGGAGUCUAGCAGAGGUGCAUGGAACUUGUGGUGUAGGAGUGAAAUCCGUUGAUAUCACAAGGAACACCAAAGGCGAAGGCAUUGCACUGGGCUAGCACUGACCCUGAGAGACGAAAGCGUGGGGAGCAAAACGGAUUAGAUACCCGUGUAGUCCACGCCCUAAACGAUGAAUGCUAAAUGUUCGGGGAUUCGACCCCCUGGGUGUUACAGCUAACGCGUUAAGCAUUCCGCCUGGGAAGUACGGCCGCAAGGCUAAAACUCAAAGGAAUAGACGGGGAUCCGCACAAGCGGUGGAGCGUCUGGUUUAAUUCGACAGUAAGCGUGGUACCUCACCAGGGUUUGACAUCCCUUGACAGCCUUGGAAACAAGGUUUCCUUCGGGCAAGGUGACAGGUGCUGCAUGGUCGUCGUCAGUUCGUGCCGUGAGGUGUUCCGUUAAGUCGGGAAACGAACGAAACCCCUAUUGCAUGUUACAAUUUCUCAUGCAAGACUGCCCGGAUAUACUGGGAGGAAGGUGGGGAUGACGUCAGAUCUGCAUGGUCCUUAUACCCUGGGCGACACAGGCGCUACAAUGGCAGAGACAAAGGGUUGCAAAACCGCAAGGUGAAGCUAAUCCCAAAAACUUUGUCUAAGUUCGGAUUGAAGGCUGCAAUUCGCCUUCAUGAAGCUGGAAUCGCUAGUAAUCGUGAAUCAGCCACGUCACGGUGAAUAUGUUCCCGGAUCUUGUACUCACCGCCCGUCACACCAAGAGAGUUGGUAGCUCCCGAAGCGUCCCGUUUUAGCGGGGCAUCACGGAGAGAUCAGCGAUAGGGGUGAAG
rnacentral:rRNA from 1 species